CUAGCCUAGAUUACUAUGUUUGCCAAACAGACUAUCGAAGCCACAAACAGUCACGGCUGUGUGGGGGAAAAGCCGGCUUCUUCUGUAAGUCAUAGGGCUGUGAGCAUACAGGGGCUACCUGGUGGAACCCAAACCUCCACCGGUUCUCAGACCAUUGCCCCCUUGCUAAAAUAACAGGUACUGAGGUACCCCUCCACCCACUCACUCCUCUCUUCUCCUGUCAAUGCCCACACUGGGUCCCACCAGGUCCUCUUACCAGCUAACCCAAAGCUCAAACCAGCUGAGGAGAGCCCUCAGACCCCUAUUCAAGAUGUAAUAAAAAUGGC
rnacentral:lncRNA from 1 species